UGGCUUAAACAGUAAAGAAUCUGCCUGCGAUGCAGGAGACCCAGGUUCAAUCCCUGG
rnacentral:tRNA from 1 species